AUGAGAUGCAGGAUACAAUAUGGUCAGAAUAUGCGUACGACAUGAAAGUUGAUCUACACACAUAUCAACAUAAUCUUAUGUCCUACAUGCAUGCAUUUGCACAUACAUACUAGAUGAUACCUGCAGCUGUGGGUAUAUAAAGAACUUCUUUGAUAGGUAAACACUAACUGACAAUCUGUUUCAUGUAAUAGUAAAAUGAUUGUUUUGCUCUAAAUACUUGACAUCAACAAAGGUAUCUCCAAUAUAUAUGACAACAUAAAAACAAAAUUUCCAUUGAUAAAGUAAAUACAUAGAACAUUAGAAUAUUCAAUCUAUAAAUCGUAAUGCAUUAUUGUCAUAGUGGAAGUAAAUUUGAGGCUCUUUAAUGACCUCUAUAGCCUUUCCAACAUAAAAAUGAGCAAGAAUUUUUUAAUAUGUUCUGUGGGGCAUUUUCAUUUAAUAAUUUUUAUUUACAAUUAACUAUCUACUGGGUCAUGAAUGUGGAUUGGAUCGGAUGGCUUGCAUGGUAUCACUUGUUGCAGGAUGAGAGUGGAUCAGCUAGUUAAAAAACAAUGCAGUCGAUUAAAAUGAAAGCCAACUAAGAGGAUGCAAGUUUUGUUACUGUUUGAUUUUAUCCAGAAACAUGUACUUGAUAUCAGCAUUCCACAACAAAGCCUUCGCUUUCUUAGAUCAAAAUUACGCGACACCAGUCGCGUUCUGCGGUAUGAAUUCAGAGCUUUUCAACUCAAUUGAUGUCUCAAAUGAAUAGUGAUUUGAUUAUACUGAUAUCUGAAAACUCUGCUUAUAUGAUAUAAUGCCUGAACAAUAUCUCUGUUGCUUGGUUUUCUCUGGAUUGAGGUUGAAUUAGUCGGCCUUCAUGUUGAAAACUUUAUACAUCAAAUUGUGCGAAUUCGAAUGCACUCAGAGCUGAUGCAAGAGACUCUUGAAUUUCGUUUUUCUUUUAACUGUACUCUAUGCCCUAAACCCCUUUUACAUAAUCAUAUCAAUGAAUAUGAUUCAGCACAAUGAUCUAAACUAUUAUACAUUAUUAUUUGGGGUUAACAUUCUUUCUAUGCUGUGA